rnacentral:lncRNA from 1 species
CCUAGUUCUGCUGGAGUGGAGCUGAGAGAGGCUCUUGGGAGCUGCCUGCGUGGGCAGAGUUUGAAGGCUUAGGAUAUCUCCUGAAGGCCGGAUGGGCCAGUAGAGAUUAACGAGGCUUGAGCUGUCUUGAAAGAUGGCUGCCCUGAGAACUGGCUAGAAGAGGAGACCAAGGAGGCUGUGUGGGUCACCCUUGCAUUGGAGAUGAGGGGAGUCGUGAGAGAUCAGUGGGGAGCCCAUUGCCCUGUUGGGGAACUGCCUGGUGGAGCUUUCCCAGGGAUAUUUUAAAGAACCUACAUGGGAGAAAGCCUGCAUUUGGACAUCUUCCAGGCCAUUCAAUAGCCAAAGAGAACCACCAACAGCUUGAAUCAAAAAAAAGGCCCUCAAAAUAGGCUGAAUGAAAAGAGGUGUGAUCGAUGAAAACUGGCCGCUCCUUCUUUGCAACUCCUUCCAUUAGGUGGUGGAGUCUACGUUGCCCUCCCUUUGAUCCAGGCUGGCCACACAAAUUACUUUCACCAACAGAAUGCUGUAGAAGUGAUACUGCAUGACCUCUGAGCCCAGGCCUUAAGGGACUUUGCAGCUUCUGUUCUUGGCCUCUGGCUGCUCUGUGACUACCAUGGAAGGAGUUCCACACUAACCUCCUGUAGGGUAAGAGACACGUGGAGGCAGACUGAGCCUCCCAGCCAUCCCACUGAGGCUCCAGGCGUGCCAGUGAUGUACCUGGCUGAAGCCUGGCCCCCAGUCACCCACUGACGGCAGCUGCAAAGGUGCCCGUGAUGAGUGGGUCACUGACAAGAAAAUUCACCUGGAGGCCAAAUUGUCUCUAAUAACAAGUCCAAGACAUGCAUUCCAGCUGGAAUCCUCUUCCCGGAUGGUUGUGUGUUUUUAAUUGCAGUAGCCAUCUCCAAAAAUGCCAUCCAGUAACCAUGCCCUUGUGUGCUGCCCUUUCCAUGAAUCUGAGCUAGCCCCAUAAUUUGCUUUUGGCCAUUGGAUGGUGGUGGAAGUGAUGCUGUGUGACUUUUGAAGCUGAGUUACAAGCAGCCUUGGACAGUCUUUCUAGACCUCGUGGAGGGCUCACUCUGGGGGAAGCCAACCAGCAUGUAAGGAGCAUAACUGCCCUGAGACCGCCGUGUUGUUAGGAUGCCCAGCUAGCUAUGUGGAGAAGCUGCAUAGACUGAGGGAGAAGCCCAGCUAGUCCCCAGUUAUUCCUGCCACCCUAACUGAGGCACCAGACCCAUGAGCAAAGAAACCAUCAUGGAUGUCCUGUCCCAUCCAGCUUCUGUGACUGUAACUGUAUGAGGACCCCAAUGAAAACCACACAGCUGAGCCUAGUCAACACACAGAGCUAUGGAAGAUAAUAGUAAAUUGUUGCUUUAAGCCACUUGGUGUUUAUUCAUUUGUUUGGAGGGGGUCGGGGGCAGAGAGAUUAUGCAGCAGUCGAAAACCAGAACACUUGCAUAAAUCUCUAUGAAGCUGGACAUCUCUCUAGACCUGAAGAAGCUCCAGAAUGCCCUGAGCCUGGCAUGACUACAGGGCCACUCUAUUCCCCCGCUGGAAUGAUCCAGAGUGCCAGGAAAACAGGCCCUUCACACAAGGCCCUGAGUCUGUUUCCUGGUUCCUCCAUGACUAGCUGCAAAACUUUAGACAAGCCAGUGCUCUCUCAGCCUGAAUUUUCCCAUCUGCAAAGUUAGGCAAUAGAGUCAAUGGAUCAUCAAAGAUUCUUCUGCUUCUCUGCCUCAUGAAAUAUCACUCUGUGCCUAAGAGAUGAACACACCACCUAGAAUUCCCCCUCUAGGCGUGCCCUUUCUCGGUUCACUCACAUGAUAGGCAUAAAGGCACAAGGAGAAAGGAGCUCAUCUGCGCUGUUUCUGGGCUUCAGGAAUCUCCAGUCACCAAGUGAGGCUGUGGGAGGGCCAGACAUGCCAGCCAGUACCCAGGUUCCCAGCUCCAUGCCCCUCCUCAGCCUCCCUUGAGUUUUUCAGUGCUAAAGAGGGAGCACCUGCUCCAAGGCCCAGGUAGUUCUGGAAUCCCAGCUCUACCUGAGAAGAGGAAGUUCCUGCCUGCCAAAGAAGAGGGGCCUCCUGAGAGGAGUAGGCUUCUCGGUGGCUGCAAAGCGUCUGGUGACAAUAUUUGUGUCUAAAAAUACAGCAGCUGAGAACCAGCUAAUUGCAGCCUCUGGAGUCAUUCAUAGCUCAGCGUUUCACACCACACUUGCACCUCUUCCAGUGUUUCUCAGGAGCUGCCACGAAGGAGGCCACUUAUGGGUGGAAACCCAGCCAGGAGGGCCCAGGAUUGGGCCUAAGGUCCAGGGCAUCCUUUCACCCAAGAGCCCAGCCUGGUACCAGUAUGUAGCUGGCACCUAGGAAUAGAGCAAAGAGAGCAAGUUUCUCAAGUCAGCUGAAUCCCCCCCCCUCUACUCAGAUGCCCUUGGCCACUUGCCCAUCAGGAUCCAUUCAGACCUGUUGGGGCCCCUCAAAAGGCAAUGGCCCAGGUAUAACUUCAUGAGUGAGAUGUACUCGAAGAGAUGCACAAGGUCCAGGAAUUACCUUGCUGGAGACGGCCUUCUGUCCUGGACCUGCAGCCGGCAGGGUGCUAACCUUUGAGCUAGGACCUCUGCUGGACUGGGUCAUGGGCUAAGCAGGGGUUGGGACCCCAUAGCUCCCUGCUGUGGAUCCUCCUUUCUUUCAGAGCUUCUCAGAUGGCUCCUGUCUCGUCUACCAGGAUAAAGGGCAUGACUCAAGGUCACAGGAUGUGACGAUCUGAGAACUUCAGCCACAGCCUCUCUGGUGCCCCACACUGCCUGAACACACAGUGGACGAAGGUCAUGGCAAAAGUAGAAGGAACCCUGCGUGGGGAAUGUGUUUGCCUCAGGCUUUAGGAGAAGGAAUUUUUUUUUUCUUAAUCAGGGAGGCAUUUUAAAAGCACAAAGCCAAACUAACAUUUGUGUAGUAUUUUUCACUUGGCAAAAUGCUGUCACACACCUAGUGCUAGGUGGUUCCCAUGUUAAUUAGAUGAGGUGGUUAUUAUUAUGGCGUCCACUUUAUGGGUAAUUAAACUGAGGAUCAGAGGGGCUGAGUCAUUUCCCCAGGGUCACCAAAGUCAUGACCAGCCUUGAACUCAAGUCAGGAGCCCUCCUGCUGGGUCAGCAGGCCCAGCACCGCCUCCUGGCCCAGCUUAGAAGCUUGACUAGUCAGCCCCAUUGGGGUCCCAGAUUACAGAAAUGCCACACUCCGGCCACACAGCCCUGAAUCCAACCUAAAUCCAGCUCCAUCAACUUCCCCCUAUCUGCGAAAUUCAUUUGAAUCCCACUCUGAAUCUGGAUCCAUUAACCUUUGACCUAUGAGAAAUGAGUCAGAGCCUAAGAAAAAGCGGGCACCUAGAGAAAGCAGGGAGCAAAAAACAGAGUUUCUGAGAGCAGGGGCCCUCUGCUUGAUGGUCAGCUCCUCCCCUGGCACCUGGGCCAGGUCAGCCGAUGCUCUGUGUGGCCAAGAGAGGGCCAGACCUGGCCUCUGGCUGUGAGUGGCUGGGACGGCGAGCAAGACCCAGCUACAUAUCUGUCUUCAGCCCCUGCAACUGGGAGAGCAGCAACUCAGAGAUCAGCCGUUUCACCCUUCUUCCUAAUCACCGCGGGCGUGAUGGAACACCUUGACAUUCUUUAACGAAAGUUCAACUCCACUGCCACUCGGGGCGCUGCAUGAGGAAUGAGGUUUAUGUUGAAUCCCAGAAUCACAGAAAUUAGAGAUGAAAAAGGACGCUGAGGUCAGAGGCAGCCCAUCCCCAUGGGGCCAAGUGCACGUUCUUCUCGGUAAUAGACUUUCCCUUUAUUCCUCCAGUCCAGGUGGCUGCCUCCCUGAAGACCAUUCUCCACUGUUUCUUGGAGAAGACACUGUUGAUAGAAAUGAGAAGUCUGUGCUGAUCCCUGCAUGAUUUGCUUUGAAAUUUAUUAAUCAUCCAAAAGCUGGUGAAGAGGGGAAAAAAGAGAAUGUAAACUCAUCUGGUAGCCAGCGUGCCUGAGUGCGAAGAAGGAGGAGAGCCAGAACCCUCUGGGUUUCCAGCUUGCUAUAGCUCUAGGGCAGCAUGGGACAGUGUAGACUGAUCACUGACUUGCUAUGUAACCUGGCAAAAUUUUGACUUCCCUGAGCCUCAGUUUUCUCAUCUGCAAAAUGGGAGCUCAUGAUGCCUAUGCACAGGGCUGUUGGAAGAUUAGAGUUAACAAAGGUUUAGCACCUCAUAUUGUGCCUGACCCAUGUGAAUUACUCCGUAAAUGGUAACGAUUAUUACUAACAUUACUUUAUGACUCUCCCCUCUCCAGAUCCGUGUCCCUGUCUGUAACACAGGGCUAAGCAAGUUCUUCAGCUAUUGGGCUUCAUCCACUCAACAUUCCACUGGCACUUCCAGAGCUGCCACCACACUUCAGACUCCCAAGGCUAACAAUGACCAAGAAAGACAGAUUCUCUGACGUCAUGGAACUUACUGUCUUUAUGAAUUUCCAGGGAGAAGGGUGCUAAGAUGCUAACAUGGAUACUAACCAUCUGAUGCAAUAUUCUGCUGCACAGAUUGUGACCUAUGACUCACUGGGACAUGAUAGAGGUCACAGAAAUGCCAAUGACAUCCCAAAGACAGUGUGGGAGUGUGUUGUCUAGCUUCUUAGCAAACCCCACCCCCACGGUGGCAUGACCCCUGCACCAUCUUCUCCCACCCUGGGAUCUCCUUCCUACCCCUCUGCCCAUGUCAAUCUGGAAGAAGUAUGUGUGCAUCACAGGAGUCCAGGCUUUGAGCCUGGGAUCAGCACAGUUCCUGACUCUGACCCACACACCAUGAGCCAAAGCUCUAGACCUUUCAGAAAUUCUUCACCAUCAGAAAAAUGGAGGUGGCACGCCCUGCCGCAGCUGAUCAACUUCCCAGAUGUGCUGCGAGCCUGCAGUAAGAGAAUGGAUGUGAAAGUGCUUUGUAAACUGAAAAUUCCAAUGAGAAAAAUCCAUUAUCAUUAGGCUGGAGUCCAGUGGCACGAUCCUCAGUUCACUGCAACCUCUGCCUCCUGGGUUCAAGCAAUUCUCCUGCCUCAGCCUCCUGAGUAGCUGGGAUUACAGGCAUAUGCCACCACGCCCAGCUAAUUUUUGUAUUUUUAGUAGAGACAGGGUUUCACCAUGUUGGUCAGGCUGGUCUCGAACUCCUGACCUCAUGAUCUGCCUGCCUUGGCCUCCGAAAGUGCUGGGAUUACAGGCGUGAGCCACCACACCUGGCCUAGAUCUGGAUUUUGAAGAAGAAGAAGAAGAUAAUGAUGACGAUGAUGACAGCUAAUGCUUAGAUGGAGAAAGAGAUAGAAGUGGCCUGGCUUUGAAACAUGGUGCUAUCCCCUAGCAAGCAGAGGAGGAGCUUCCAGACAGAAAAUGGUACCUUUCCCCAGAGUCUAUGUUGAGGUGCACCAGCCUUUCCAGUCCUGAGAAAAGACAGAGUCAUGGCUCCAGGGCAGGUGGGCAUGCCUGUGUCCCAGGAGGCACUGUUCUUCCUGGCCAGAGACCCAUGCCCACUUCAGAGGAGCCAUGAAGGAGAAACACCAGGCCACAGUGGAGGACUGUGAUCAAGGAAAAAUUGAAGAACUGCUGCAGGAAAUUGGAGCUGCCAAUCUCCUAACAAUUGGAAUUUUUUUAUACUGUGCAUUUCACAAAUGUAUGUCCUCAAGGACAGAGAAGAUCCUGCCCUAAGGAGCAAGUGUGCGGAGGCCACCUGGCCUUCACUGGUUCCUGCACUGAAUGUUUCCUUCUCACCUGCUGAGUACCAGGUGUUACCCCAGAGAUGGCAGAAGGACUGAGGACCUGGGGAGGAGAGAGGAGGAAACUGGAGGACUGUGAACGUGGCCACGUCUUUUCCAAUGGAGAGAAAACUCAAUCGGAUCUGGGCACUCCCUACAUUUCUCCACCUCCUGCCGCCCCCGUGAGCCACUGCAGGGAGAUUUUUCUGAAUAAUGGAACAUUUUCCUGUUUUAAUCAGAUGCAAUUUUGCAAGCAGUUUUUAUGAUUUAGCAAGUCCAUUAAAACUGGCAUUUGUUCUGCUCUGACACUCGAAAGGGGCUCCACAGAGCAUAAACAUUGGAAAUUACUUGUAGGGAGAGACAAUAUUAAAAUUCCCCAGCCUGGGCCUGUUGUUUGAGAAAUUCUGUUAUCAAGCAUCAUGCCAGCUACGAUCAGAGGUGCUUGAGAUAUAUGCUGCUUCCUCUUUACGCACUAACUGGGGGCCUGGGAACUCAGGCAGCAAUAAAGUCGCAAUGCUGUUAUCUCUCAGCACUUUUGGCAUCAGGAGGUGAAUGGGUCUUAAGGAGAACUCACUGGAAGAGCAGGUCACGAAGUGCAAAAUCUCAAGGAAGAGGGUGGGUGAACACAUCUUUAAGGACAAGCCUGGAAAUUGCUUUCCUGCCCACAGUGAAUGAUAGAGUUUAUUGGCACAUAAUUAAGAAGGUCUGUUUUGUCAGUUUCACUUGUAGUCAAUUCUCAAUUAUCCAUAUACUAACAGAUGACCAGGGUCAAGUGAAAAUUCUCCUUUUGCCCUCCUUCUGCUUCCCUGCAGGGAUUCCCUCUCCACAGAACCAAAGUAGAGUAUCAGCAAGAGAGGCUUUGGGGAGCAUCUCCUCUCCCAGUCAAUGCAGAAGCCAUAGAAGAAAUCACAAAAGAUAGAACCUGGCAGUUCAACUACAUAAAAUUAACAAUGCGUGG